rnacentral:rRNA from 1 species
UACGGAGGAUCCAAGCGUUAUCCGGAAUCAUUGGGUUUAAAGGGUCCGUAGGCGGCCCUGUAAGUCAGUGGUGAAAUCUCACGGCUCAACCGUGAAAUUGCCAUUGAUACUGCAGGGCUUGAAUUAUCGGGAAGCAACUAGAAUAUGUAGUGUAGCGGUGAAAUGCUUAGAUAUUACAUGGAAUACCGAUUGCGAAGGCAGGUUGCUACCGGUGGAUUGACGCUGAUGGACGAAAGCGUGGGGAGCGAACAGG